UAUUACUUUUCUCUAUGAUGGCGUUAUUUUGUCAAACAAAAUAAAUGAGACUUAAUUAUGUUUUCCCCUAAUUGUUAAGGAUGAGAAAUGUUUAAAUAGUAAUGUCUUUUUCAUUAAAUAUUAGUGAUAUAAUUGCACAUGUAAAAAAUAUUGUAGAUAGCGUACGAUGUACAGCUUGUGACAAGGCUGAUGGAGGUCGUACCAGAUUUCUAUGUGGACAUACAAGUUGCGAUGACUGCCUGACUGAAUCAGAAGAGUGUGUGUUAUGUGUUACACCUCCCACAUCUUUGGGCAAACCCAAAUCUGACAAACCUCUUUCUCAGCGAGCUCAAAACGCUUAUAAUCUACUUGAAGUUUGUCAAGACACUUUUCAUUUAGAUGUUUAUCAAAGGGUUUCAGAGGGCUUACGAGUUUCUGAACAACUGAAGGCUGAAAGAGAAUUGUUCCCAGAAUGCAUUCAAGCUCCACAAAAGUAUUGUAAUAAAAGGAAAAGUAUUGUUAUGAAAGGAGAUAAAGAAAAUUUACAUAGUUCUUUUCAUUUUGGUGAGCACAUCUCACAUUCAGAUUCAUUUAAAAUGAACAAAUGUAAUAAUUAUGUUCAACAGUGGCUUGAAAAAACUGAAAAUUAUCCUAGGAAAGCAUUAGCUGACUUAAAUGUUAAUAAGUCAAACAACACAAGAAGGAAAAUACUUCAACAGAAAACUGUAAAAAGUAAGUCUAAAAAAAGUAAUAAUAGUCAUGUCAAGGCAGAAGUAUUAAAUUCAAAACAAAGAAAAAGACCUUUUUCUACAACAUCAUUUUCACUUAUUGGUCAAGAAAAUAGUGUGCCUGAUUUAAUUAUUAAAAAAUCUAAAAAAAGUGAAUCUAAAACAUUUUUGCAUGAACUCCACAAUAAAACAUUGGAGUGUCCAGACAAUGAAGAAAGUGGAAUAGUAUUGGAUGAUGAACCCAUACUAAUAGAAGAUUCACAGAGUCAAAUAAUUGCAGAAGAUAAAGAUAAAUUUGCAUUAUUAGCAGUGCAAGCCGCUGAGAAGGAACAAUCAGGUGUCACAGCCUUGACAUUAGAGACUACACAGGAUCUUGAACUACCUCCUAUAUGCAUUAAUUCAAAAACUAGUAAUAAAAAGCACAAUAAAAAUGUUCCAUUUUAUAAAAAGGGUUCCCUAGCAGAUUGUUCUCCUCACUACCCUGUUGAUAACAAACCAGACAUUGAAAGAGAAAAUGUGUUGAUCACUAUUGAAAAUCAGAAUUUUAUUACCACUAUUAAUAUAAUGAAUACUGAAAAUAUUGUUAAUGACAAAAAAUCUGUUAAUAUCCAAACUAAUUUAAAUGAUGAAGACAGGAUGCCAGAAAUAAAAGAGAAAAGUAAAGGAAAUAAUAACAAAUUUGUGCCUUUGCCAAGUGAGAAUAUUGUUACUGAAAAGAAUCAAGAGUCACAACAGUCACCCUGUAUUUACAAUAGCACAUCUAAGAGAGGUGGCAUUAUUAUUGAUGAUUCUGAUAGUGAUGAUAGCCUUUUUAUGGGAAGCUAUUUACAAGUGGAAGCUGAAGUUCAUAGAUCUUGUGAGCCAUUAGACUAUGGCAUCCUUAAUGAAAUAAGUACAAGUGAAUUACCACACAGAUCCAGAAAUAAAAUGAGAUGCCUUUCACCAGAUAGCAAUAACUCUUCAGAGAAGGAAAAUUGUGAUCCAAAUAAAGGCAAAAAGCAUAAAAAUGUAAAGAAAAGCAAAUAUUUUAAGAAGUAAUUAUAAUUUGUUAGCAUGUAAUGUAAUAAUUUUCAAUUUAUUAAAAAAAGUUAUGAAUCAAAAAUGA